UAAGGACUUUUAAACCUCAAAGAUGAGGGUGGGAACAACAGAGAAGAACCUAUUAUUGGGCCACCUAUCAAGCAAAAAGAAAAUACAGCAAUAGAGAUCACACUGGAUGCAUGGUGAACUGUGGCAGAUGGAGAAAUGGUUGGAAGCCAUGGGACGAAUGCCUAGAGUUUUGAAGGAAUGUAGACAAGGUCUCCAGAUUUGCCACCCAUGCUGAGUGCCGUGGUGUGAUCAUGGCUUAUUUCAACCUCAACCUCCCCCACUCAAGCGAUCCUCCUGCCUCAGCCUCUGGAGUAGCUGGGACUACAGGCACGCACCACCACACCCAGCCAUAAUUUGCCUCUUGCUGUAACUAAAAGGUCACAAAAACAAAGAAUUCUAAAAAAUCUUCUUCUUAAGUGUGCCUCACUACCACAAAUUAUGCAGUCAAGUCUCCCAUAUUUGGGGACAUCGCAGGGGUCAGCAUGUCCAGAGUGCAAUGGAUAAGCCUUGCCCUGGGAAAACCACCUUCGUGAUCAUGGUUAUCUCCCCUGCCAGAAAGAGAUUUAAAAGAACACCUGAAGGGAAAUAAGAAGAGAAACAGAAUAUGAAGAGGAUUCAACCAAAUAGAGCCAAUGAAGGAGACAGAGCAACUUAAAUAAUAAGAGCAAUUUUAAAAAAUGGGACAAAAAGGAAAGGAUACUCAGUGCAUAGUUGAUGGCUUAAGAAAAUAAGAUUUUUUUAUAUUAUACUUUAAGUUCUAGGGUACAUGUACACAACA
rnacentral:lncRNA from 1 species